UGUCACUGUCCUGACUCCCAUCUCCAGUCACCUGGCGUCCUUACUCCUUGAAACUCCAGGUAUGGUGUUUGCCAUUCUCUUUGCAUGGACAGGUACUCCCCAGAUUAUCUGGAAGCAGGCCUAGCUACAUACACUGCAGUGCCCAGUACAAAAUGCAAACGAGGGGCUUCUUAUUCAAACUUCGUUAAGAUUUUCACGACUGUGACAGCAGAGGCCAAGCCCAGGCACAGGGCCCUUCUGGGCAGAGUCUGGAAGUUUUCCUCCUUCAACAGCUUCAGGACUUUGUUCAAAAACCAUCAUCAUCAUCAUCAUCUUUUUUUUUAAGCUAUUUUUUUUUAAUGUUUAUUUAUUUAUUUUGAGAGAGAGCAAGCCCGAGCAGGGGAGGGGCAGAGAGAGAGGGAGAGAGAGAAUCCUAAGCAGGCUCCACGCUGUCAGCGCAAAGCCCGAUGUGGGGUUUGAUCCCAUGCACCGUGAAAUCAUGACCUGAGUUGAAGUCAAGAGUCAGACGCUUGACCGACUGAGCCAUCCAGAUGCUCCCAAAACUCAUCUUCUUAUUGAAGCCUCUCGCCCUGAUCACCCUGUUUAAAACCUUAGUACCUACCUCUGCACCUAAAACUCCUUAUAUACCCUCCAUGAUGUCCUCUUCCUCUUGGGUGUUUCUUACCCUCUAACACACUAUAGUUUACUCACUUCUGUUGCAUUUUUUCUGACCUCUCCCUGGAUUAGAAUAGAUGAGACCCGGGGUUUUGUCUUGGUCAAAGCUGUUUCCCCUGCACCUAGAACAGCGCCUGAAAGAAAGAAAGAAUGGGGGCGCCUGGGUGACUCAGUCAGUUAAGCCUCUGACUCUUGAUUUCAGCUCAGGUCAUGAUCUCAACAGAUUGUGAGAUUGAGCCCUGCAUCAGGGUCUGGGCUCACAUUGCAGACCCUGCGUGGGAUUGUCCCUCUCUCUCUGCCCCUCCCCCCACUCAUGUACUCUCCCUCUCAAAAUAAGUAAAUUAAGAAAAAAAAAAAAGAACGAAUGAAUGAAUACAUUGAUUUUGCAGUCCUCUGGUAGAAAAAGCCAAGCUUUGAAAUCCGUCCUUUAGAGGGAAAAUUCUGUGGACUUGCAAUAUUUGUAUAAAAAUAACACAAGUCGCUUCCAUUUACUUCCUUUUUUUUACCCCAGGACAUGCUGGGACCACAGAACAGCUGGGCCAUCUUGCCUUCUAGAAUUCAGGCUCUCCACACAAGCUUUGUCCUAAGCACUUCUGCCCCUCCUUUUAAGGUUCUAAAGUUGCCAUUGUUUUGAAUCCUUCUCUCUUUUUCCCUUUGAAAAGUAGUGUUAUUGAUAAUAUUAUGGUUUGGAAUUCACAAGUUAUGAAAGUGAAAAGCCUUCUGUCCUUGUUUGUCCAGUCACCUUGUCCGAUCCCUUCCUUGGAAAAAACCAAUUAUCUUUCAAGCCCCCUGUGAAUCCUCCCAGAAAUAUUCUAUGCAGACACUGUACUAAUAAAUGCUAGUGUGAUGUGUAGGUAUGCUGCCUUCAUUUUUCAUGAAAUGGUUCGAGAACAGCGUAUGAGAACGGGGCCAUUUCUGUCUGUCUCCAUUUUGAUUGAGGCUCCAAGACCCUGGUUUUAAAUUUUUUUUUUUUCAACGUUUAUUUAUUUUUGGGACAGAGAGAGACAGAGCAUGAACGGGGGAGGGGCAGAGAGAGAGGGAGACACAGAAUCGGAAACAGGCUCCAGGCUCUGAGCCAUCAGCCCAGAGCCCGAUGCGGGGCUCGAACUCACGGACCGCGAGAUCGUGACCUGGCUGAAGUUGGACGCUUAACCGACUGCGCCACCCAGGCGCCCCAAGACCCUGGUUUUAAAUACUCCUUGUUUCUCAGCAAGAUGGCAGGGGGCCUUUGCAGUCCUUGGAAAAGAGUCCUGAAAACUGGUUUUGCAAACUUGGAACCUUCACCAUUUAGGCUAUAAGAGAAUCUGGAAAGGUCAAGGUGGAGUCAAGAUUGAUUAAGAGCUUUUGCCUUGGACUUUGAGUCCGAGGUGAGUCACGCCUAUUCCCACAGGGAAGCAUGCUUUUCCCUGAAGGUGGUUCUUCAAUGGAGGGGAGUGGCUUCCACACACAGGGGGCGAUGGCCAUGUCUGGAGACAUUUGGAGUUGUCCUGACUGGAGAGAGGCUACAGGUAUCCACUGGAGAGAGGCCAGAGAUGAUGCUAAAUAUCCUGCAGGGCACAGGACAGUCCCCACAAGGAACACCAAGUACACAGCCUCAAAUGUCACUGGUGUCGAGGUUGAGGAACACUGGCCCAAGGGGAGGGGCUGCUUUGGGACCGCUUGAGGAGUGGGGAGAUGUCUCUUGCAGUUGGUGAACACAGGGAACCACUGUUUGGCCCAUAUGCGGGGGUGCUGAGGCUGCCUUGCUGUGUUUCUGGUGCAGAGGUGAAGUGAGGCUGCUGAGUGGAGAGGGCAGCCUGUGCUCCCGGCACGUUUGAUAAGAGGGAGCGUCAGGGGUUCUUGUGGAACGAGAUAAGGACUGUGAUGGCAGAGCAGGACUGCUACGUGGAGGGAAGAGUGAGCUCAGCCGGGGCUAUGGAGGGAGGAAGCCGUCAUAAGUACUAACCUGUGCCAAGGGAGCCACGGGGGAGAUACAUCCAGUUGGGAUGGGGAGAGGGGAGAUGUGGUGUGUGGUUGUCUUUGAAACACCUCCCAAAGUGCUUCAGGAGAGAAUGCAUUUGGCUCAAACCCCUGGAAAGCCCAGCAAGCGUCACGUAAAAGUUUGGCUGUCACUGCGAUGGCACACAGAAAAUAAAAUGCAGAGCUCACAAGAAAGACCCUAUUUGAUUUGGCCCCUCUGACCUCCCUAAUUUCAUUUUCUCUUAUUAUUUUGAGCCAUGGUGGACUUCAGGCCUUUCCUCAAACGCACUGGGCCUGCUCUGACCGCAGGGCCUUUAGGCUUGCUUUCCUUACCACCUAGCAUCCUCCCCCCCCCCCCCCCCCCCCCAUUUUUGCAUCAUUGUUUCCUCUCUUUGAGUCUCUGUGCACAAGUCCCCAUCUCAGAGAGGCCUUUCUUGAACAGUCUACCUGAAACAGGCAAAUCUCUGGUUAAUGUCUCCUGUGUUUGCUUAAUUCUUUAUCCCUAACCUUUUAUGAUAACGUAUCCACUUACUGUGUCUCUUCUCCAUUAUGAUGUAAUAGCCCAACAGGAAGACACUUGAUCUGUAUGUUCCCAGGGUCUAGGGCCAUCUCAGCGUUUGGUAGGUGUCCAAUAGAUAUUUAGCUAGUAAGUGAAUGAAUGAAUAUUUGAGCAAUGCUGUUGUGGUUUGCUGAGCUAUUUGAUUUGGCUUCUGAUCUGUGAGUGAGUGGAGUCUCAGCCCUGCCCAAAGACAGGCUCUGGGCCUGCCCCUUCUCUGACUUGUUCUUUGCUGUCAAAUUCCCUGGCCCUGGAGCAAAAGACAGUCAUGCAGGGGAAUAGAAAGACCAGGCCGCCCACUUCACACAGCUUUUCAGAUAAAAAGCUAGUUAGGACCCUAGCUGUAGUCACCCCUCCCUGUUUAAAGACCCAAGUGAAAAGUUGUGAAUGAAAAAGGGAGUAAUGACCACCUGUGUCCUUUUAUUUUUUUUUUUUAAGUCAAGUAUGUCUGUUUUGUUUAUAUUUUAAUUCGAUACAGGCAUAUUUUAAAAUAAAAAAUAUUGUUGCUGUUUUGGGAAACCUAAACGAGGGGCACAAUGGAGUAAGAUUGUCCCCAAUUCUGUUAGCAGGCAUUAUUAUUUUAACAUUUGUGGUACACUAUUGCCAUCUUUUUUAUCCUAUGAAUAUAGAAGAAAAUAUAUUUUUAAAUGAUAUAUUAAACAACUUAUCAAAAUGGCAUAUACUCCCAAGUAAUGUCAUAUUUUAUGGAUGUAUAUUGCAAUGUUGUAUGAUGGCGACCCCUGUUAAUUGUCUUCUAAUUCCCUCCCCAGUCCCAACAAACAAAACCUGCACACACGAAUCCUAACUGUUAUCUGUGGGUCUAUCCACUUCUCUAUCACUGCAUCUACGUAUCUAUGAGUUAAUAUAUCUGUUAUUUAUUACCUUUGUAUGUUUUAUGUUUUCAUCAUUCUAUGUUAUCCUUGUAUCGAUGUACUCGUCUUUCUGUCUAUCAUCUAUCUAUGCAUGGGUCUUUCUCUAUGCAUUUAUCUCCCUAGGUAUCCAUAUAGGUAUCUGGGUAUCAAAGUAUCUAUCUAUCUUUCUAUUUAUGCGUCUAUCAUAUAUCAGUGCUUUUAUGAAUCAACCAGUUAUCUAUAUAUUUAUCAAUCUGUUAUCUAUUUUUGUAUCACUAUAUAUGAUAUAUGAUAGUGAUAUAUGAUAUAUAUAGUGAUAUAUGAUAUCACUAUAUCAUACCUGUUUAUUUAUACAUAAACGUGUGUGUGUGUGUAUAUAUAUAUAUAUAUAUAUAUAUAUAUGUAUGUGCAUAUCCGUUAUCUGUUGCUUAUCUCUGUGCCAUUCUUUCAGUUUUAUUUACAGGACUUUCUUUCUGCCAUGCAUGCUUUGGCGCCUUGCUUCUUUCACUUAGUGCAUCUUAGAGAUCUUCUGCGCGAGCACUUCAAGAGCUAUCUUCGUCUCUUCUUUGAUGAUGCCAUUGUAUUCAUCAUAAGGAUGUUCCAAUAAUACAUUUAGAAUUUCUUUUAUCCUUAUUUUAUUGUGCUAUAUGGUGUACACACACACACACGACUUAGAUCCUGCUCAGGUCAAAAAAUAGAACAUUGCUACCACCCAAACGCCCCCAGUAGACUUCUACUCAAUUACAGCCUUAUCCUUACCUAGUAGAAGUCACUCUAUCUUGAUUAUUGUGAUAAUAAUUUUCUUGCAUUUAAAAAAAAAUUUACCGUUACGGAUGCAUUUCCAUAGAAGGUGGUUUACUUUUCUGUUUAUGAGCUUUAGUUGGAUGGAACCGUACUUCGUGAGUUUUGUUGUUUCUUGCUUCUUUUGCUCAAUGUUAUAUUUAUGAGAUUGACGCAUGUUGUGGCAGGUAGCUGAAUGUAUUCAUUUUCAUUAUUCUAUAGUAGAAUUCCAUUGUGUAACUUAAUCCCACUUAAAAAAAACCCAAUUCUAAUGAUGGUGGACAUUUGGAUUGUUUCCGCUUUUGGGCCUAUUGUGGAAAAUGCUUUUAUGAACAUGUUUAUUGAAGUAUUUUGAUGCUCAUGUGUACCAAUUUUUAAAGAUAUAUCUCUAGGACUUGAAUUUCUGGGUCAGGGGUGCAUCAACUUCACUAGGUAGUACCAGACUGUUUCUAAACAUUAGCACCCAUUCUCCCCACACCCCCAAGAAGAGGACACUUCGCAUUUGCUCAACAACCUUGCCAACAUUUGGCAUCGUCAGACAUUUAAUUAUUCUUACAAGUUUCUUGCUGAUGGACAGUCUAGUCUCUCUCUCUCUCCUUUUCUCCCCUUUAAAAAUUUUCUUUUCUUCUUCUCCUCCUCCUUCUUCUUCUUCCUCCUCCUCCUCUUCCUCCUCCUCCUCCUGCUCUUCCUCUCCUUCUCCUUUUUUUUUUUUUUUUUUUUUGCUAUUACAAACAGUAUAAGGAACCCAACCUCAUAGACUCUCCUGGCAAGCUUUUGUAAAUAUGCCUAGAGUAUAUCUCUUUCUUGGUGGAAAUGCUAAGUCAAGGUGCUGUAAAUAUUGAUAGCUAUGGUCAAAUAUUCCUCCCCAUGUUUAUAUCCCUCACUUUAUGUUCCCACAAUAGGACACGAGAGCCUAGUUCCCCCACAUCUUCAACAACAUUGGCUGUCCUUAAAUAUUAAGUGUCUGCCAAUUUUACAGCUCUUUCGUUUUGUGUUGAUUUGCACCUGUCUAGUUAUUAGUAAGUUUCAAUAUCUAUUCAUUUGGAUUUCAUGGCUGAAACUCCUUUUCUUUAAAAACUGCCGGUUCUUAUCUUUUGCCCAUUUUCAUACUGUUUUGUCAUUUUUGUCUUACCAGCUCAUACAUACUUUUUAUCAGUUGAGGACAUAAGCCCUUUGCUGCCAGAUAUUGUUGUAGCUGUCUUUUCUCGUUUAACACUGGUCUUUGGACUUUGUUCGGGCUGCUUUUAGUCCAUAAAAAACAUUGUGUAUUUAAAUUUAACCAAUUGUUUACCUUAUGGCCUCUCUGUUUUUAUAUCCUUCUUAGGAAGACCUUUCCGAACGUGCAGUCGUGCUUUCUUUUUGAAGUUUUGUGGUUUAUUUUAUGUUCAGCUCCUUGACACAUGCUACAUCUUUGAUAAUUUGGAUUUAAAUCUUUGAGGCGCCAGAAAGGGAAGGAUGCGGCAGGAAUCCAGCUUCUCCUUGCUAACAAUUUGUCAGCGGAUCCGUGUUUUUCCCCCUCCUUGUUUAAAAUGUCACCUUUACCAGAAACUAAAAUGCCAUAUGUAUUUGGGUCUAUUUUUGGAUUCUCUAUUUUGUUUCACGGAUGUCUGUUUUUUUUCCCCCUAGCAUUAAAACAGUUUUACAUUUUGCUCACUGCCUGAGUUUUACUAAGCAGAAGCAUUCUUUUUCCUCAACCAAAGAGUCAAAGCUAAACUCAGGCACAAAGCAUACAGGCAGUGGAGUGCAUCCGAGCAGGGCUGUGUGGAAGGAAGGUGAAUGUGUGGCCACUGGCAAAGGGUAGUGGGUUGUAGGUGCCAGGCGUACAAAGGUGUAAUGUUCUUGUAGAUUCUUGAUUGGGAAGGAAUGCUCUGUGCACACAUAAAACUGCACGUUAGGCAAAUAAUACAUAGUCGGCCCAGUAUCUUGGGGCAAAGUCUGAUUUCAUUUGAAAGAAGUCGUGUACCUAGUGACUCGCUGAUUAAUUAUUCUUAAUUUAAGUGGUUAACAGUGCAACCAAGCUGCAGGCAUCUGGUUUCCCGUGGCUGCGGGAAGGAGGUGAGCAGUGACCUGCUUCACAGAAAUGGGAACUGAUGUCGUGAAUCUGGCUGCCUUCCACCUUGGAGAAGUGGCUCUGUUUUCUGGAAAGAACAAGGCCUUUAAAUAACCCAAUAUGCUUUAAUUUUACUAUUUUGGAUGCUUAGCUCUCUCACAGGCACGGCAGCCAUCCUUCUCUUAUUUGUAAAAUGUUCACGACCGUAGUUCAGGCACAGUUGUUAAAUGAGGUAGUACAGGCAAGCCACAGUCCCGGGGCCACCUGAUCCUUCUGGCCUGUCUUGGAGCAGCCACUCUUGGACUCUUUUUAUAUUUGAUUUUUCUCAUGGUUGCCUCCUUACCUCUGUGUAUUAUUGUGUGCUGCUCCUUGAUACAUCAAUUUUAAUUAUUAUUAUUUUUUAUAUUUUUUAAGAGAGCGAAAGGGGCAGAGGGCAAGGAAGAGAAUCUUUUUUUUUUCUUCCAAUAUUUGUUUAUUUAUCUAUUUAGAGACAGAGAGUGUGAGCAGGGGAGAGGCAGAGAGAGAGGGAGAGAGAGAAUCCCAAGCAGACUAUGCACUAGUGGAACCCCAAUGCGGGCUCUGUCCCAUGAACCAUGAGACCAUGACCUGAGCUGAAAUCAAGAGCUGAAGGUUUAACUGACUGAGCCACCCAGGGCCCCGAGAGAAUCUUAAGCAGGCUCCACGCUCAGUGCUGAGGCCAGUGUGGGGGCUCGAUCUCACAAACCGUGAGGUCAUGACCUGAGCUGAAAUCAAGAGUCAGAUGCUUAACCGACUGAGCCACCCAGGCGCCCCUGGACAUUGCUUCUUGACUGUAUGGUAUGACAGUUGACCUUCAUCACCCUGAACCCAGGCCCUCCCCACACUGUACAGUUAAAUAACCUUCCUCCUUCUUCCAUGAAGAAGCCUGUGUGCUGUGUGCUCCAACCCUCUUUGCUGGGAUGCCUUGUGCCCUUUGUUACAUGCCCCUCUUCGGAAUCCCGGCUUUCCAUGACAUUCUUUCCCAGGGCUUAGCCUUGAUGGUCCUAGGACAUUCGUGGAAGUUCAGCCAUGGUCCAUCUGCAAGUCCUCGGUGCCUCUCCCCUACCCUGCUGAGUGCUCCACGGCGCUGGGGCCUGACCUGCUCCGACUUCUCUUUCUCCCUCAUUGCUGGUGCCCUUACUUCAUCAGGGACCCUCUUUUCACAGCAGCCACUUACUCAGGCUCUGGGCCAGAGAUAUUCUCCUAACCUUUGUCCCCAAGGCUCUGUGGUUGGCCUUAAUAAGAUCCAUUUUGAACAUGCCUAGACCCUUCCAGUGCCCACAGCCUGGGAAGUGAUCUCAUCCCAGGAGGUGUCUGCUCUGCUCACUUAGCAUCAUGCCCAGGUGUGUGAGGUGUGAGCUGCUGGAGCAGCACCCCAGGUGACCCUGUGACACUGGACCAUCCAUCAGUCUUGUGGGAACACCUGUGAGAGGGAGGGAGGUGGAUCGCUGUGAGAAAACAGACUGAUGGGCGGAUUAUUGACCGAUUAUACUAAGCUGCAGCUUAGUGGUGCGGGGUCCUAAGUUAGAAGUAGGAGGGGCACCAGGCAGGGUUUUCAAGGGGAGCUCCCAGGGCACACCUCCUUUCUAGGGGCCAGCAUGCGGGCUCUGAAGGCCAUGGUGAGCCACUCCCAGAGAUAUGGACGGAUCAGAAGAAGGUGAUGCUGUCACGGGGCCAAGGGGAGCCCAUGCGGUCCCCCAAGAGACUUACCGUUCAGGAGGGAAGAGAGACUCAUAAAUAGGUAAUGACAACACAGGUAGUAAAUGUUCUGGAACGAUGCCUUGAGAGUGUAGGCAUGGGACUCAAGGCACCCUGCCAGCUCUCUCUCCCCACUUUCUCAUCCCUCAGGUGUUGAAAGCCCACGGGUUGCAAAACCAGUUUUCAGGAACCUCUUUUCUGGGCCAGCAUCAAGAUGUGGGAGUGGUUGGUGCACGGUGAAAAGACUAGUGACAUCUAUUGCCUCCCAGAGGACCUGGUGGCUGGAAGGCAGGGGUGCAAGGAGAGGCUUUCUACCUGUGAAGGUUUUGAACUGGAAGCUUCUAUUGCUUACCCAUAAGUGCAAAUUUACUUAAAAAUACAGCCACAAAUUACCAAAAACCCCUUUGAAAGUGCCAGGUAGGGGACCUCAAAAGGGGAGGCAGGGUUGCAUAAAGGAGGAGCUGAGUGAAUCGAUUCAGGGUCUGGACACGUUGCAAGAUUAUCAGGGAGACCAGUACCUGCAGGCACAUGCACGUCCCGGGGCGAAAACCAAACCAGAUUGCAGAAACCUGUGCUGUUUUCACGUAGAUGUGGCAAGUCCCUGGGAUUGGCCUUUAAAACCGGAAGCUCUUCUCACCCAGCGACGGGUCCUAAAGUUGGUGUCAUACUAAAUUUUCCACACCAAUGUAGACAGGAUGGGAAGGGUCUGAUUGGCUGUUUCCCAAGACAUGUGGUCUGCAGCAUUGCAGGUCCACACUGUUCUGAAGGCCAUCGGGGCUCGGGUAUCUGCUGAUCUCAACGUAGCAAUCGCAUACUUGAUCGAGACUAAUGAAACCCAAUCUGUGGAAACAGCUGGGGUUAUACAUCCAAUCUUUUUGGACCACUUUCUCAUGAGAAGAAAUAGAUUUUACAUUGCAACUCAAUAUACAUGUUCAUACACAGACAUGAAAUAAAUUUUCAUAAAAUCAUACUUCAUUUAAUUAUGUCGGAUGGACUAAAUUUUCUGUUCUAUUCUUUCCUAUUUGAUAUAUUUAUUUAUUUAUUUAUUUAUUUAUUUAUUUAUUUAUUUACUUUUUUUAUUUUUGAAAGAGAGAGAGCAUGAGUGGGAGAGAGGGGCAGGUAGAGAGAGAGAAUCUUAAGUAGGCUCUACAUUCAGCAUGAUAGUGACACAGAGCUCGAUCCCAUGACCUUGGGAUCAUGACUGAGUCAAAAUCAAGAGUCAGAUGCUCAAGUAACUGAGCCACCCAGGUGCCCCUCCUGUUUGAUAUUUUUAAAAGCUGGUCACAGCCCCCUAAACUGACUUCAUGGUCCAUUCCAAAAAGUUUGGAAAAUCCUGAGCUGGGACAGGUACAUGUAUACUGAUAUGUGAUAUAAGAGAUAUAUUUUCUGUUAGGUCACUGUCAAUAAAAGUUUGAAAAACACAUCACUAAGUCAUGUCCCUAAUAUUUAAAUUUGAUCUUGUCAAGAUCUCUUCCAUUUUGUUUGUUUGUUUGUUUGCAUUCAAGGGACUCAGUCUUAGGGCACCUGGGUGGCUCAGUAGGUUGAGCAUCUGACUUUGGCUCAGGUCAUGAUCUCAUGGUUUGUGGGUUCGAGCUCCGUGUCAGGCUCUGUGCUGACAGCUCGGAGCCUGGGGCCUGCUUCGGAUUCUGUGUCUCCCUCUCUCUCUGCCCCUCCUCUUCUCACGCUCUGUCUCUCUCUGCCCCUCCUCUUCUCACGCUCUGUCUCUCUCUCUCCAAAAUAAAUAAACAUUAAAAAAGUUUUUUUAAUAAAAAGUAAAGGAACUCAGUCUUAGAAAUAUUACAAAAAAUGCAGACUCUUCCAGUGCUUUAUAAAAAUUUGUUUCAUCCUGAGUUUUAUGGAUACUACAACUUUGCUUUUUUAGAAAAAGUUUUAUGACCGAUGUGUGCAUCCCUGAACACUAGAGUUUAGUUGUUUCAGUUUUAAAAAAUGAUGUCUUUUAAAUCUCUUUUAAUCUAUAACUUUUCCCCCACCUUUUUCUCCCACCUUGCAUUCUAUUUAUUGAAUAAACUGGAUUGCUUGACUGAUAGAGAUUCUUAUAGUCUAGAUUUUGCUCCUUCCAUCCCAUGGUACACUUUAGCAUGCUCUCUUGUCAUCUGUCUUUCCUGUAAAUUGGUAGUUAGAUUCAGAGUUUUGAUCGGGUUCAGGUUUUAUUAUUAUUAUCUUUUUGGUUAGAGCACUUUGUAGAUGCUAUAGUGUUCUUCCAUCAGCCAGCACAUAAAAUGUUUACUGUUUGUGUGCAUGUGUGAAGUGCGUGCAUGUGUGUGCACGGGUGUACAUGUGUAGGUCUGUGCAUGUGUACGUGUGUAGGGGUGUGUGUGUGUGUGUGUGUGUGUGAGGUUAACUACCACCGAUGCUCAGUGUACGUCAGGAGUCACAAAAGGUUAUUCUAAUCUAAUCACGCCUUCACUUAUUAGUUCAAAUACAUCUAUUAAAAGAACUUCCUUCUACUAUUUGGUUACCUAAUAAUUCAGUUCACACAGGAAAGGCAGAACAAACAUCUGUUUCUUUCCCUUUAUUAACCAUUUCUCAAUAAUAUGUUGCUCCCUUGUCAUCCAUCAAAGAUGAUCAAAUAAGGGAAUUUUUAUUUAUUUAUUUUUAAAGUUUAUCCAUUUAUUUUGAGAGAGAGAGUGAGCAGAGGAGGGGUAGAGAGAGAGGAGAGAGAGAGAAUCCUGAACAGGCUCUGUGCUGUCACCGCAGAGCCGGGCACAGGGCUCGAUCUCACAAACCGUGAGAUCAUGACCUGAGCUGAAAUCAAGAGUCAGAUGCUUAACCUAUGGAGCCACCCAGCCGCCCCAUCACAUAGGGUUUUUUUAAAAAGUAAUUUAAACCCAUGGAUCUAAACAUAUCUGAUGCAUUUCAAUUGAUUGCAAUUAUUUUUUUCUUGAUGCACCAAUUAUUCCUUCUUUACCAAUGAGUGGCUCCUGAAUCCUGUUUAUACCACUCUAAUGGGCAUUCAUAGCUUCCUUCUUUUCUUUUUUUAACUUUUUAAAAGUUUUUUAUUUUUUGGAGAGACAGAGAGAGUGCGAGCAGGGGAGGGGCAGAGAGAGAGGGAGACACAAAAUCUGAAGCAGGCUCCAGGUUCUGAGCUGUCAGCACAGAGCCUGAUGUGGGCCUCAAACCCACGAACGUGACAUUUUGACCUGAGCGGAAGUGGGAUGCUCAACAGACUGAGCCACCCAGGUGCCCCUAUAACUUCCUCAUUUUCUUUUUUCUUUUUUAAACUUUUUAAAUGUUUAUUUUUGAGAGAGAGAAAGAAAGAGACCCAGAAUCCAAAGCAGGCUCAAGGCUCUGAGCCAUCAGCACAGAGCCUGAUGCGGGGCCUGAACUCAGGAACCGAGGGAUCAUGGCUAGAGCCGAAGUUGGACACCCAACCGACUGAGCCCCCCAGGCACCCUGUAACUUCCUCAUUUUCUAUGAGGUGUUCCAGACUCAUCUUUAUCUUUCCUGCCUCAGACCUGGAAUCAGCCAUUUUUUCCAGAAGCCAUGUUUUUUUUUUUGUUUUUUGUUUUAGUGGUAAAUAUAUUUCAGGACCACAAUAUUGGCACUAGGAAUGUUCACUAAUACUGAGUUGACCAUUUUUAUUGUGGACUUUUCAGUGGACAGAGCAAGGGAAUAUUUUAGAUAAAAUAGCUCACAAGUUAAUACUGACACUUCUCUAUUUCUUUUUUUUAAGGUUUAUUUAUUUUGAGACAGAGAGAGCGCACCAGCAGGGGAGAGGCAGAGAGGGAGGGAGAGACAGAAUCCCAAGCAGGCUCUGCACUAUCACCGCAGAGCCCGACGCAGGGCUCGAACUUACAAACCGAACUGCAAGAUCAUGACCUGAGCUGAAAUCCAGAGUCAGAAGCUUAACCGACUGAGCCACUCAGGUGCCCUGAUACUUCUCUAUUUCAAACUCAGCAUCACAGCGUUUUAACUUUGUCUUUUAUAUUUGUGUCACCUUUCUUUGUGACCAAGAACCUCGGUUCUCAAGAAUGGGGGUGGGGGUGGGGGAUAAUAGGAUCAUGUGACGUAAUCCCUCAUUUAUCUUUCAUAUGCUUCAUACACAACAGUCUCG
rnacentral:lncRNA from 1 species